rnacentral:rRNA from 1 species
UACCAGCACCCCGAGUGGUCGGGACGAUUAUUGGGCCUAAAGCAUCCGUAGCCGGUUCUACAAGUCUUCCGUUAAAUCCACCUGCUUAACAGAUGGGCUGCGGAGGAUACUAUAGAGCUAGGAGGCGGGAGAGGCAAGCGGUACUUAGUGGGUAGGGGUAAAAUCCGUUGAUCCAUUGAAGACCACCAGUGGCGAAGGCGG